rnacentral:lncRNA from 1 species
UGCACCAUAAGAGUUACGAAAGGCGAGGAAGACCCAAAAAUAUUGCCCUCUUAAGUUAAAAGCCGAUUAUAGUAUCCAAAACUCGGUACAUCUUUCUUUUCAAUAUAUAAUUUUAAAAAUCGAUAUUCUAAAUAUUUCAAAGAAAAUAUCAGUAUUUUUUGGAUAUCUUUAUCGUUAUCAAUUAGAACUAAGAUAUACUUGCUCUGCAUUAACUGUCCCGAC